rnacentral:rRNA from 1 species
AACGAACGCUGGCGGCAGGCUUAACACAUGCAAGUCGAGCGCCCCGCAAGGGGAGCGGCAGACGGGUGAGUAACGCGUGGGAAUCUUCCCAUCUCUACGGAAUAACGCAUGGAAACGUGUGCUAAUACCGUAUACGUCCUUCGGGAGAAAGAUUUAUCGGAGAUGGAUGAGCCCGCGUUGGAUUAGCUAGUUGGUGGGGUAAAGGCCUACCAAGGCGACGAUCCAUAGCUGGCCUGAGAGGAUGAUCAGCCACACUGGGACUGAGACACGGCCCAGACCCCUACGGGAGGCAGCAGUGGGGAAUAUUGGACAAUGGGCGCAAGCCUGAUCCAGCCAUGCCGCGUGAGUGAUGAAGGCCCUAGGGUUGUAAAGCUCUUUCACCGGUGAAGAUAAUGACGGUAACCGGAGAAGAAGCCCCGGCUAACUUCGUGCCAGCCGCCGCCGUAAAAC